rnacentral:rRNA from 1 species
UACCAGCACCCCGAGUGGUCGGGACGUUUAUUGGGCCUAAAGCAUCCGUAGCCGGUUCUACAAGUCUUCCGUUAAAUCCACCUGCUUAACAGAUGGGCUGCGGAAGAUACUAUAGAGCUAGGAGGCGGGAGAGGCAAGCGGUACUCGAUGGGUAGGGGUAAAAUCCGUUGAUCCAUUGAAGACCACCAGUGGCGAAGGCGGCUUGCCAGAACGCGUUCGACGGUGAGGGAUGAAAGCUGGGGGAGCAAACCGG